AGACAUCUGUCUACUUUGUCUGUCUGUCUGUCUGUAUACUAGCUAACGUAGGAAUAUUAAACGUGUUUUGUUUAUAGUGUACAUUUGUAUAUAUUUUAUUAUAUUUUUGUGAUAUAACGUUUUCCUACAUUUUUCAAGGUGAUUAGUUUUCCUUACAGUGAAAUCGAAUUGUUUUUCUUAUCUGUGAAAUGUAUGCAGAUACAUAUCGUAGAUGAUAAAAUCAAAGCUAGGUUUAUAGUGUGAAUCUGCAUCCUCACUACAAGAUGGAUGUCAUUGACUAUGGUGCCAUCCUCCUAGCAAGAGGAGAUUGAUCUGGCAUUCUCUGGAACAAUUAAUGGAGAAUGUUUUGCUUCUUUCAUUGCACUCCUAUGUACUUUUGAUGCUUAUGCUCAUUCUAAAUUGUGAAUUUCUUCUUAUUGCAUGAAAAUUGUUACUGCACUUAAAUCUAGAUAUUGCAUGUGGCCUCAACAAUGGAUGGCCUAAUAUAUAACAAAAUUGAGAAGUUGCAAGUAAUCAAGCAGGAAGAUCGUAUCAUCUAUAGCUCCUGCAACAAUUAAAGCUGGAGGAUUAUGCCCGUCAGCUAGAUUUUUGUGUCAACAUUGGAGAUUUUGCCACCAAGAUGAUAUUCAAUGAUGAAGCAGUGUUCCACUUAUCAUGGAAACUUGAAAUAGUUGAAAAAACUUGGUGAGCUUGUGGUUCUUUUCAUAUAUUUUUCAUGCACGUACCCG